rnacentral:misc_RNA from 1 species
GAAAAUUUAUUUUUUAUUUAUAAAUUCUAGAAAUAAAAAGCAAAUAUAAAAUGCAAGAAGAAAAAUAAGAUAAACUCACAUUUGUGAAAUCUUUUACACAUUCAAGCGUGAGACAGAGCAUUAGCUUUAGCUUGGCUGGGUCAAAUUUUCGUAAUUCAGAGAAUUUUUUUUUUUUAAAUAAAGUCUACUAAAUUUCUCGUUCAUUUUCUUCUCCUCAAUUUUCUCAGACACCGAACCAAACACACUUUUACUUAAAUAAAAAAGAGAAGAAGAUAAAUAGCGAAAAAUCAUGAGACGGAUCCACGCACAGUGCACCGAAUCCAGACUCAAUCGUUCAAUUGCGACAAACGGAAGCGAAUUUAGCUCUGAACAUACGAAAAUUAAAGGAAAACGGCGAGUGCAAAAGGAAAAACAGCGUAAGCAGUUGAAAAGCUUGAAGAGAAGCUAAACUAACCUGCCUGAAUCUGAAGAGAAACAAUGGCGGAGAGAAAGAGAGAAAAUGCUUUUCCGAGAGAGAGAGAGAGAGAGAG